ACUCCUACGGGAGGCAUCAGUGGGGAAUAUUGCACAAUGGGGGAAACCCUGAUGCAGCCAUGCCGCGUGUGUGAAGAAGGCCUUCGGGUUGUAAAGCACUUUCAGUAGGGAGGAAGGUAGUGUAGUUAACACCUGCAUUAUUUGACGUUACCUACAGAAGAAGCACCGGCUAACUCCGUGCCAGCAGCCGCGGUAAUACGGAGGGUGCGAGCGUUAAUCGGAAUUACUGGGCGUAAAGCGCAUGCAGGCGGCUUGUUAAGUCAGAUGUGAAAGCCCGGGGUCUUAACCGUCGGAAUUGCAUUUGAAACUGGCAGGCUAGAGUCUUGUAGGAGGGGGUUAGAAUUUCGAGGUGUAGCGGUGAAAUGCGUAGAGAUCUGAAGGAAUACCAGUGGCGAA
rnacentral:rRNA from 1 species